rnacentral:rRNA from 1 species
UAGGGAAUCUUCGGCAAUGGACGAAAGUCUGACCGAGCAACGCCGCGUGAGUGAAGAAGGUUUUCGGAUCGUAAAGCUCUGUUGUUGGUGAAGAAGGAUAGAGGCAGUAACUGGUCUUUAUUUGACGGUAAUCAACCAGAAAGUCACGGCUAACUACGUGCCAC